ACUGUUCUAAAUUGAGAUUCGAUUAUACACUGUAUUACAGAUUCUAUUUGUAUUAGUCUUCUGUACGUGGAACAAAACUACAUGUAUCUAUCCAGUGACACUACAUGCUUUUCCAUGUUUUACAACCUCCUACAUGGGACCGCUAUAUAUGAAUUAGAGAGUAAUAUACAAGAUAAGUUUUAGUGCUGUUUCAUAAAAUUGGAUGGAUUUUGAUGCAUUUCGAAGCAAUGAGGUCACAUAAAGUUGAUGCAAAUGUAUACAUGUAUGUUACUUUAUAAACCUCUAUCAGGUUUUAUUUGUGCUGAAAAUCACUGAACAUGUCAAAACUGUAAUUUUAUUUGUUAGCUGUUAAUUUUAAAUAUAUGUAUAUACCCUGUAUUUUGUUUUACAGGUAAAACUUGUUAUAAAUAUGAACCGUCCAUGAAUUAUUUGCAUAUGCUCAAAAUGUCUUAUCACUUUUAGAGCAUAAUAUUCUAUUAUGUGAUAUGCUUUGUCCAAGCUAUAUCUGUGAUAUCAAAUAUAUAUUUUUUUUUUAUUUAAAUAGUUUGAUUUCAUUAUUAAUGAGUUAUUGAAUUUUUUUAGUUUUGUACUGGUUCAGAUAUUUCUGAUCAAAUAAAUGUAG
rnacentral:misc_RNA from 1 species